rnacentral:rRNA from 1 species
AUUGAACGCUGGCGGCAGGCCUAACACAUGCAAGUCGAACGGUAACAGGAAGAAGCUUGCUUCUUUGCUGACGAGUGGCGGACGGGUGAGUAAUGUCUGGGAAACUGCCUGAUGGAGGGGGAUAACUACUGGAAACGGUAGCUAAUACCGCAUAACGUCGCAAGACCAAAAAGGGGGACCUUCGGGCCUCUUGCCAUCGGAUGUGCCCAGAUGGGAUUAGCUAGUAGGUGGGGUAACGGCUCACCUAGGCGACGAUCCCUAGCUGGUCUGAGAGGAUGACCAGCCAAACUGGAACUGAGACACGGUCCAGACUCCUACGGGAGGCAGCAGUGGGGAAUAUUGCACAAUGGGCGCAAGCCUGAUGCAGCCAUGCCGCGUGUAUGAAGAAGGCCUUCGGGUUGUAAAGUACUUUCAGCGGGGAGGAAGGGAGUAAAGUUAAUACCUUUGCUCAUUGACGUUACCCGCAGAAGAAGCACCGGCUAACUCCGUG